GGCAGGGCCGCACCGCCCCGGGGCGGAGCCGGCGGCGCUGCCGUGCCCGCCACUUUGCCCGUGUCCGCGCCAGGGAGCCUGUCCUGGGAAACCCAGGAUGCUGUUCUGGCGGCCGGUAGGGCCAGGGUGAUAUCCUGGGCUGCAUCCAGCACAACCUGUGGCCAGCGGGUCGAGGGAGGUGAUCCUGCCCCACCGCUCGGCCCGGGAAAGCAGAAUAAUAUGCAAAACCAAGAUGAAACAUGUUUCAGGUCUACAUUACAAUUCAAAUAGAAAAGACAUGUGACACAGUUUAACAAAGAUCUGCUUAGCUGAAAAAUCCAAUUAAAACCUGAAUUGUCCUUCGGCUGUGCCUGGCACGCUGCCAUUUCAGCAGUCCAGCGCCGUGGCAAUAAAGUGGAAGAAGAAUAAACGAAACGUGCUCCUUGUGCGGUGACACUUGGGGACAGCGUGGCGAGCGCUGCCUUUUGCCCCUGAGGAUGGUUGGGCUUGGCACUGCCGGCCGCCUCCCGGGACAAAAGGGAUCGGCCGAGCAGGAGCACCGCCCGAAAGGUGGAAUUGAACCACUCUGUCGCUAGACAGCUACAGGUUUGAAGCCUGCACCCCAGACCACUGAGGGUCAUCCGGGCAAUUUCAAGCCGCCGUGGGACACGCUAUAUGAAGUCCCCCAUAUCUUUCACCUCAAGAACUGCCUGUCUCGGAGUCACAGGGAUGGAUGUGGUUAGAGCAGACAGAGCCAUCAAGACAUGUGCUUAUCUAUCAAUCGUACCAGCUGUUUCUGGCAUGCAGCAACUGACUGACCACAGUAAGGAAACGAGGAUGUAAUCAGUUAGCAGAGCUCUCCUUUCUCAGCAAGGACGAUAAGGAUUGUUGGCAAACCCACAGAGAGUUACGGGAAUAGAGGAA